rnacentral:tRNA from 1 species
GGGGGUGUAGCUCAGUUUGGUUAGAGCGCUGGCCUGUCAAGCCGGAGGUCGCGAGUUCGAGUCUCGUCACUCCCGCCA